UUCACGUUUAUUUUAAGAAAAUUCACUCAAUUAUGUGGAUUUGAUUGAGAUGUUUGCAUUUGAAUCUCAACAACGGCAGUGAUCAGACGACAUUUUGAAGGAGCAGAUCAACAGCGAGCAUGUUAAGAGGUAAGCAUUAACAGUUUAUCAUUUUAUUGUCUUAAGUAGCCUAAGCUCUUUCAGGAAAGACACAUGCUGUUCAAACUUGUUCAGGAGGUUAGUUUUUGCCAUAUGAUGUAUAUAGGGAUACACGGGUAUUUUUAACCCAUUCCUAUUUAAAAUUGAUUUGCUUCAAUAUUCAUUCUGAAUUAUAUAAUGAAAUUGAACAAAUUAUUUGCAUCGUAAUAUUUAACAGCAAUGAUCAGGCAACAGUUAAGCAGGGUGGACGAACAACAGUGAGCUUGUUAAGUGGUAAGUCUAAGCUAAGCUAAGUUAGCUAGCUAUUCAAUGGGGUUUAUGCACAGCUAGUGCUUUUCCAUUUCAUAAGGUUCCUUUUACAGCAUUGAUGAUGUAAUGUAAUGAACUGUGUUUAUAUAUAAUACUGUACAUAAAUACUAAUAUUUGUUUGCUUCAUUUUUCAGAUCAAAGAAAACGUUUGCAGUAUUUUCCCACUAAAGAGGAGCAGUUUAUUGAGGCAGAUUUUGAUAAAGAGAAUGGGUGCCAUACAUCAGACCUCACAUUAAAUCAGGGAUGAAUCGAGAGAUGUCGUCCUCUGUUGCUGGUCUAUCUGUAUAAAUAAGAUGAAGAGCUCAUCCAGGAGUGCAAUUGUGGGAAUGCACAGAGAAUUGUUGUCUGUCAGAGGGAUGACCAACCAUGAGGACUUCUGCAUUGUCUUGGAGGAUAAGCGAGUCAUGGCUAGCUUGGAAAAUCUAGAAUUGCUGAACUAGAUUUAUACAAAUAUUCUCCAAAUAAAAAUCACUUACAAAGAAACGAAUAUUAAAUUUGACACAAAUUCACUGCUAAAACCUUUUGGGGAAAAUUUCAGUGCAUUGACUGAUUGAUUGUGUUCCUAAUAUUUUGAGAUAUGGCUUUUAUACUGGUUUUAGAUGUUAUGCAAUACACUAAUUCUGUCAAAUUUUGUCUAAAAUGUGACUGUUCCUAUAAAAGAAACAUUUGACAGAACAUUUUAUUUUCCAUGACAUGGAUAAAGGAAUUUUUAUCAGAGAUUAACAUUGCUGUAAAUUUUAUAUAGAUUUGUUUAACAUAUUGCACCAUUUUGUUAUCAGUGUAACAUGUAAUAAAAU